UUUCCAUGUGAUGAUAAAACUAUAGCGUGAGCUGGCAGCAGUGAUCGCUAAAUGUCAUAGUUACACUGAUGGGUU
rnacentral:sRNA from 14 species